rnacentral:rRNA from 1 species
UACAGAGGUCUCAAGCGUUGUUCGGAUUCAUUGGGCGUAAAGGGUGCGUAGGCGGUGUGGAAAGUCGAAUGUGAAAUCUCGGAGCUCAACUCCGAAACUGCAUUCGAUACUACCAUGCUAGAGGAUUGUAGAGGAGAUCGGAAUUCACGGUGUAGCAGUGAAAUGCGUAGAUAUCGUGAGGAAGACCAGUUGCGAAAGCGGAUCUCUGGGCAACUCCUGACGCUGAGGCACGAAGGUUAGGGGAGCAAAC